AUGCAAUGAAUUUAGCCCUUGAUCCACCAGUUAAGAAUACAUUUGCAAAUAACUCUGGUAAUUCUCUUCUCCGUCUCAUAUUAUCUCAAUGAAAUGAAGUGCCUAAUCAGUCAAGAAACCUAAAAAGCAAAUUGAACUUUUGAGUUGGUAUAACUGUGUUAAAAUUUUUAUCGGCUCUUUGCUUUAUUGAGUACUGGUAAUUACUUAGAUGUGUUCAAUACUAAACUUCAUCUUCCCAACUCUUGUCUCAAUGCCCCCUUGUAAUAAAAUCAUCUUCAGUGAGACCACUGGCAAACUCUCAAGUAGCUGUGAACAAACCACUGAAGCCUGAUUUGAGUUCAAAUCCAGUAAGAGCUGCUGCAGUUGCUG
rnacentral:misc_RNA from 1 species